rnacentral:rRNA from 2 species
GUGGAUUAGUGGCGAACGGGUGAGUAACACGUGGGCAAUCUGCCCUUCACUCUGGGACAAGCCCUGGAAACGGGGUCUAAUACCGGAUAACACUCUCCUCCUCCUGGGGGUGGGUUAAAAGCUCCGGCGGUGAAGGAUGAGCCCGCGGCCUAUCANCUUGUUGGUGGGGUAAUGGCCUACCAAGGCGACGACGGGUAGCCGGCCUGAGAGGGCGACCGGCCACACUGGGACUGAGACACGGCCCAGACUCCUACGGGAGGCAGCAGUGGGGAAUAUUGCACAAUGGGCGAAAGCCUGAUGCAGCGACGCCGCGUGAGGGAUGACGGCCUUCGGGUUGUAAACCUCUUUCAGCAGGGAAGAAGCGCAAGUGACGGUACCUGCAGAAGAAGCACCGGCUAACUACGUGCCAGCAGCCGCGGUAAUACGUAGGGUGCGAGCGUUGUCCGGAAUUAUUGGGCGUAAAGAGCUCGUAGGCGGUCUGUCACGUCGGAUGUGAAAGCCCGGGGCUUAACCCCGGGUCUGCAUUCGAUACGGGCAGACUAGAGUGUGGUAGGGGAGAUCGGAAUUCCUGGUGUAGCGGUGAAAUGCGCAGAUAUCANGAGGAACACCGGUGGCGAANGCGGAUCUCUGGGCCAUUACUGACGCUGAAGAGCGAAAGCGUGGGGAGCG